rnacentral:lncRNA from 1 species
CAGUUAAAGGAGGGGUUCAUAAUUUAGGGCGGGAAAUAAGUGGAGCUGUUUCGCUGCUUCAAGUCCUGUCAUGUCCAUAGAUGAGGAAAGAGGCUAUAAUCGCUGUUUUUUUGUCCGCCACAAAUUUGCUAUGGCUGAAGGAGAAGGAGCGUUAGUCAACGCGUGCCUGAAAGGCCACCUCACGGUACAAACUCCUCAUACAAACGUAGCUCUUUCUCUUGUUUUCCGUUAUGCUUUGUGAUGUUCUGACGUUAAUAACCUUGUCGCCGCCCACAGUGAGGGUUCUAACACACCACGUUAAAAAAAAGGUUCAUAAGUUUAUUGUUUUAGCCAAACGCCAUGACAAAAUAGUAGCAGUAGUAUUAAUAAAAUAAUGCAGAACUCAACUUCCAUAAUAUAAGUAGACACCCACGAUUUAAAAGAGAAUGCAGCUUUAAUUCCAAAAGCGUAAAUUCGUUCCUUACCAGGAUCCCAAAUGCUUCAGGUGUACUGUUGUUGCUCAGGGGUAUUUUUUCCAAAUUCACAAAGCUACAUUCAUACAAAUAGUUACUUCAGCUUAGAAACCCACUGCAAGUUCCUUAAGACUCUUUAAUUCCUGGACAAUUCACACUGAAAUUGUGUGAGUCACUAGUAGGCCUCACACAAUGCAAUCCUGUGUAUGUUUACUUGGAAGUAACUCCCAAGUAACUAUGUUCAGUAAAACUAGCUCCCAGGUAAUGUGUGUAGGAUUGCAGCUAUACGGAGCAUUCCUGCACAGUACUCUGCUAAUGUAGGAGCCAACUUACACUGUUGCAGUUGGCACAAAUUAACAGUAGGAUUGUACAGUACCUUGAAUGAAUGAGGCAACAGGUAUCCAAUCGUAAGAAACUCUGUAUCUGUAGUGACCUCUGCUUACAAAAGCCACCACUUUGUGUUUGGAAAUGUUAUUUCCAGCUUAUACCUUUCCUGUGCUCACAAUAGGCUGAGGCCAUCUUUAAUGGGGAGAAAUACAGGGUGGCAUUCUGAUGGCACCAGUGUUGUGUGAAAGCUGGAAAAAAGGUGAGCCCCACUUUCACAACAAACCCCCAUCUAGAAGUACCCCCAGAGUCCAUCAAAUGUCCAGCAAGGUAUCAGUAAAGCUGAUGUCUCAAGAAGAAGAUAAUGUAGAAGAUUUGUUAUUAAUAUGCCUGAGAAGGGCUUUAAAGUGAAAAAUGAACAGACAUGUAGGACUCCUGUUUAUAGAGGAACUCCUGUUUGAAGAGGAGCAAAACAGGAUUACUUGUGUGACUUGGCUGGGUGCCUCACAUGAAAGCAGUUGGCCAGAUGUAGUUUAGAUUUAAGAUUUGCAAGCAUUGUGUAUAAAACUUCCCCGUGUUGUUUAUAUUCUGGGGGAGGAAAAUCAUAAGAACAUAAGAGGAGACCUGCUGGAUCAGACCAAACCAUAUCUAGUACAGCAGGGAUAACUAACAAGGUGCCCUUCAGAUGUCAUUGAACUCCAGCUCUCAUCAGCCCCAGCCAAUAUAGCCAAUCAUCAGGGAUGAUUGGGGUUACAAUCCAACUACUUCUGGAAGUCAGUGCACUGGCUGCCCUGUAGUAUAUCAUCAUUUUUCCCCAGAGGGACCAACCAGAUGCCUCUGGGAAGUCCACAAACAGGACACCAUCGUCAUCAUUAUGUCAUUUUGCUCACAUAGUGACCCAAAGUGACUUGCAUUAAAAACAGUUAAGAACAACUAUGAAACCUCAGCGCCUAGGGCUUGCCGAUCGCAUGGUCGGCGGUUCGAAUCCCCACGGCGGGGUGAGCUCCCAUCUUUCGGUCCCAGCUCCUGCCCACCUAGCAGUUCGAAAGCACCCCUAAGUGCAAGUAGAUAAAUAGGUACCGCUUUAUAGUGGGAAGGUAAAUGGCGUUUCCGUGUGCUGCGCUGGUGCUGGCUCGCCAGAGCAGCUUUGUCACGCUGGCCACGUGACCCGGAAGUGUCUCCGGACAGCGCUGGCCCCCGGCCUCUUAAGUGAGAUGGGCGCACAACCCUAGAGUCGGACACGACUGGCCCGUACGGGCAGGGGUACCUUUACCUUUAUGAAAGCCUAAAAGCACAGCUAUAUAAAUAAAAGGCAGGACUUCAAAUCCCACCUCAGUAAAACAGGCCACAAUGUUGCCAAGGUCCAUGUAAAGAGAAAAGGUUUGGGCCAGUGCUUAAAACUAGAUAACUAUGGUGCCAGGUAUGCCUCCAUGGGGAAAGCGUCCCAUAAGCAUAAGGCCACCACUGAAAAGGACAUGAGGGCAAGAGUCUUUCGCCUUGUUGUUCAGAACCAUGCUACUUCUGUUCUUGGAGCAUUAAUGACUAAGAUCCAUUGAUAACCUUAUAUUCCAUGAAUUUGCUUAAUUCCCUGCUUUACAGUAUUGUUGUAACAAAUGCUUUGAAUAUUCUAAAACAGACAUGGCCAGACUUCAGGCUUAUGGGAUAUAUCUUUCUUUCUUUCUUUUACUUUUUCUAACUGAAAUCAAGUGCAAAAUGGUGGCAGGAAGCUAUUUAUUUAUUUUUAAAGUAUAUCUUGUCUUUCAUCCUCCCAAGCAGUUUAACUACCAACCACACUCCACAAAGUGUAUACUGGAGUACCUGUAUAUACAAGUACAAAUCUGUGACUUAAUACUGAACUACAAAUCAAGGAUUCCACUAGCCUAAAAUAAGUGUGUGUGUGGGGGGGGCAUUUUGGUUCUUUCUUCAAUGAUUGGAAGUCAGAAGCCAUUGUCAAUCUACUGUAAAUUAUCCAGUGAUCUACCAGUAGACUCCAAUCUACCUUCUUCUCACCCUUGCUCUGAAGCAGUAGAAAACUGCUACAUAUUACUUACCUUCCUAUACUAUAUAACAAUUUGGAACCAUCAUGAUUGUGAAACCUGCACAGCAUCACAGGUUGUACCUUCCAGUCUUUUCCAUCUAUAUUGAAAUUAUGUUCACCUUUUCUCUGCCUUUCUUUCACUGCUCAGUCAGAGCUUUCCUUACAGAAACAUCUAGGUCAGUAAUCAUGGAAACAUUACACUAACAUACUCUUUAAUAUAUUAUUUUCUCAGUGGCAACAAGACAAAAUGACGGUAUAGUUUAGUAUUCCUCUACCUUGCCAGAAAUCUUCCACUGAAUUAAAACCUGCAUUCUGAAAACAGUCAUAAAAGAGCCCUGCCUAUCUAGUAUAAGCACUCACACUGAUUAGCAUAUAACACUAAACCAUCGCCAUGGUUUAGCUAGCAUAAUAAGUGAACACAGCCCAGCAGCUUAACUAUGAUUCAUUUACUGCCAACAAACCAUUAUCUGUAGUCAUGGUUUGUUGUUGGCUUAUGAACCUUGAUUUGUUUUAAAUAUAGCUUUGUAUUAUGUUUGAAGCCAGCAACCUUCCUUUACCAUGGUUUGUUUGACCACCCCACUACAAAUGCUCACCAAACAUACAAGUACUGUAAUGAGUAGCUGGAAAAUAAGGUAAACUUUGGAAAAACAACUUGUACAACUUAAAUAAACCACAGCUUGGUGUUAGGUGUGAACCAAGCCAAUGAAAGAGAGAAGAUCAAACUACUUAAGACUUCCCUGGCAAUAUGAAAGACCAGCAUAGAAUGGCAGCUGUAUCCCUUGCUGAAGCAUUGGAACAAGUUUUAACCAAGGGUGGGAACUGUAAAAGGAAUCUAUUCUGGUUCAAGGAAAGCAUGUGAAGAAGUUGUGAAAGUAAGAACUUUCCUGAAAUCUCAGCUCACCUCCCAUGUGGUUCUGUGUUAAAUAUAGAGAUGAAGAGAUACAAUUACACAAGGUCACUGGAAGCCUACUAUGAACUACUCUUUACUGAAUCAAAGUACAGUGUGAUAAAUUUACAGCUUGCCUCUAAAUACAACCUAUGGCCACUUGUACUGGAUAACAGAAGUUACGAUGCAGGUGUCAGGUUCCUGCCCUCCCAUGCACUUUAAAUGUAUUAGUUAUGAUGGGUUAUUGUAGGGUCAGAUAUGCUAUGGUUUAUCUGUGAGAAUUUAAAAAACAACAACAUGAUGUGUUCAGACCUUCUGGGCUAUGUACAGGUGAUCCGUCAAAGGGGAAAACUGAAAGUGAAAUAAAGUCACACAUCCCUUGUGGCUAUUGUUGUUUCUUUGUUUUUUACUUUUCCUUUCCCUUCUUGUUCACAUGCAGCAGAUAAAGUUCUUCCCAAGUCUCCCUUCUUCCUUGGCUCCUCCUUUCCCAAAUACCCCUUCUUUCCUGUUUCUCUUUCCCUUCAUGCUCUAGUAACUACACCCGUAUUCCCUGAUAGUGCUGGCUUCUCUGCACCUUGCUUGCUUUCUGCCCCUUUGUUCUACUCCCACCAUCUACCCUCCUCUCAGUCUUUUAUCUCUCCUGCUUUCUAGGACCUCUUUUCACUCUCCAACCCAGAUCUUGUCCCCUUUGUUGGUAUCAGGUUGUUGUUUUUAAGUGUAUAGUCAUGGAAUACUUGAGAUAUUAAUGAAUAACACUUACAAAUUAAUUAGGAAUUGUGUAUAAUAUUUAUUUUAAGCUUUUGUCACUUGCAGAACAAAACAAAAUAUGUAUUCUCCAACUUCUGCUUUGGUAAUUAGAAUAUUCAUAGGCAACACAAUAAUUUGGGAGUUAAGGUUUGCAGGCAAUGGGGCAGCCAGAUUUUAGCUUUCAUCCAGACGAACGUUUAUGUAGGCAUUUAGGGGGCAAUCAUAUUUCAAGAUCUACUGGGAUAAGCUAUUGAGGAUGCAGCAUUACAGUGGAUCUCCGGCUCAGCUGAGCUCAGCAAGCUUCAUGUUGCCAGCUCUGGCUCAACCAAAAAUAUCCCAGCAUAACUUGCUCAGGUGGCUGAACUAAAUCUGUCAAGGCUGAUAUAGGUCUUAACAAGUGGGUGUAAGGGGGCAGGACCAAAGAAAGGGGACUUAGCCUUGAUCCUAUGUCCAUUCAGUUUUGUCAUGUGGCGUGGCACUCAGGCAUAGAACACUAUUUUAAAGACUUAUUUUUCCUCUUCCAGGCUUAGGCAGAGCAGCGGCCCCCCCACUUAAUGGGGUUUGGCUCUGGUGUAACUUUACCCUGGCUUGCUUUACACCGGCUUCUUGUGCCUAAGAUAGCUCCCCAAGCCUCCAUAACUGUCGGGUGCUCCUUUGAACACUUUGUUUGUAACGUAUUCUUAACCAUUUUAAUUAAUGUUUCCCCCAGUGUGUUUUGGGAAUAUUGUAGGGAAGCUGUUCAAAGGGAAGCUAGUAUAUACAGUAUACAGAUCAGAAGCCAGUUCAGCUCCAAUACUUAAUUCAGCUUAAUUAACUGAAAUAUGAGUACUUUACAGUAUAAAUGUGUUCUAGGUUGGACAGCUCACAUUUUUUGUUUAAAGUGCUUGCUAAAAGGAUUCCCCCUCUGCAGCUCCCACUGCAAACAAGACAUUGCAAGGAAAAUUUGGAAAGGAAAAAAUCACAUCCAGAAUAAAAUUUUAUUUUAAUGUUUAUUCAUGGUGUACUUUAAAUGCCUGUGGCAUUUAUCAAUGCAACAAGCACAAAUUAUGAAUUAUGAAUUAUGCAUAGCUUUUAUUUAAAGCUUAUGUGAUCUACACUGGAACCCUAUACAUAUUUUCUCAAAAGGAAGGCUGUGUAUACACCAUUUAUUCUGGCUCCAGUACACUCCCACCACUGGUGUUUGAAACCAUGAUGCUAGCCACAAUCCUAAUUUGUCUUGUAGUUCCUUGAGAAAUGCUGGCUUUUAAUGUAUUUUCCCUCGAACCAGCUUUUUUCGGAUUUGAACAUGUAAGCUACAUUCACUUUGCAGCUUAGCUGAGGUUCGUACAUUUAUGACAGCUAUUAUGCAUGCACAGAUAACAGUUUCAUGAACAGAAGUUCAGGAGGGCUUGAAGGUGCAGGGAACCCAAAUAAGGAGUGUAUAUCAGAUGAUACAGCAUGAGAUGGGAGUAUCUGCUAUUCAAAGGGGGGAAAGAUUUCUGGGUACACAUCAGGAACUAUUUUUGGCCUGCAAACCACAAAGUCUGGUGUAUAGCUGAUUUCCAGGGAAUUCAGGUGUCCUUUAGACACUUUCACAGCCUGUCCAUGAGCAGCUAAUGUACAGGUGGGAGAACAUUUAAAUGACACAACUACAAAGAUGGAGCCAAUCGUGUGAGUCUUUUUAAUGGAAUUGACAAUGCUCCUGGCGUGUGUGUGUGUGUGUGUGUGCACGCACACACGCACGCAAGCACACAUGCAUGCACGCACACCACUUCCGAGGAAAAGACCAUUGCACUUGACCCCUGCCCGCAAGCUGGAUCAUAUAAGCCUGAACUCAGUCACAAAGGACUGGAUCACAAAUAGGCAUCUCCCCCAUGGUUAGGAGGACAUAUAAAAGAACAUCUAAAUUGGCUUCAAUCUAAGUUUUUAUCUGUAGCAUCAGGCUGCAUAUGUAUAUUAAGUUAUGCCUGUGUUAAAAGACUGGUGAUAUUUUUGCCCUUUCAAUGAGUGUGAGUAUAAAGGAUCAACAUUAUUGUUUCCUAGCACGUUUCCAGUUGAGACAAACCCUUAGAAGAGGGUGCAGGGUAGCAGGAGAGAAUGGGAUUUAUGCACACCCAUUAAGGAGCAAAUGCAUCCCUUUGUGGAUGAUUUACAAAGGGGCCCUACUCACAGAUGAAGGGAGAUCUGAUAUAACAAUUCAUUGUUCUGACACACAUUGCAAUCAUGAUGUGCAGUUUUUAAUGUAUCAUGUUACAUUAAGCUUAGCCCAUGGUCUAAUACCGUGUAACAUAAAUUUCUGUAAAGGGAGAAACAUAACAUGAUGCUGUCUUAUAAAAGACACACACUAUUUUUUCAGUUCACAUCCCUUUUCUCCAUGAAUGCCCAAUCUGAAAAUCAAGGUGACAGACAAAAGUGGAGUGAAUGAGCAUCCACAAACCAGCAUAUUUUUCUUGGGUAGUUUUGCUCAUUCUCACCUGUAGUCAAUGACUCCAGUCAGUUUUUAUGUUGCAAUGCAUGAGCAAAGUUGAUGGACAUAUUUUUUGGUCACCCCUAGUUAGAUUUUAUUCAGGGUCAACCAAGAGGAACCUAACAAGGAUUAAGACUGUAAAAUACACUGGAAUUAAUCUCAGAAGUGUUUUCUCCACAAUGCAGAAAUGUAUAUUUCUAGAGAAGUUGCACCCUUUUUAAGAUUAUGCCUUUUGUUCUUAUAGCAGAUGUUUUACAUAGUAUUUUAAAUCCUUUACAAAGUACAAAAGUUUUAAAGAUGUGGCAGAGCUAAAAGUGGCACUCUGACCCCUGAAACACCAUUAGAGUGACAUUAGAAUAAAAAUCUGCAUGAUAAUUGGGUAAAGUGAGAUGGCAAUAUGGUUGAAAUUUUUUUAAGCCUUCAUAAAUCCCACCCAAAUUACUGCAUAAUAAAGGAGACAGCCUAUUCUAUGAAUGUUUUAAGUCAGACUACAUGAAUAGGAGAAGGAAGGCCCUGAGGUCAGACCUUGGGGUGAGCGCUGCUCUGUAGGGCAGCUGUGUCCUACAACAUUGUUUUAGGACAAAAAUUGCUUUGCUAAAAUGGCUCCUCAUUCUGGCCUUAGAAUGCCUCAUCAUAAGCUGCUCAAUCUUUCUCCCCUUUAGCUGACAAAAGAUUUCCUGCAUUGCAGGGGGUUAGAUGACCCUCGAGAUCCCUUCCAACUCUACAAUUCUCUGGUUUCAUGGGGGUGGCAAUGAAGGAGGUAAAGAGUGGCACAGAGAGAGAGAAUGGAGUGGCACACUGCCUGCCACUGGUUAUAGAUCCACCAACUGCCAUUGUGCAACCUCCAACACGUUACCCCAUAAGAAUUUUGGCCUUCAACAGGUAAAAUAGAUCCUUCAUAUCUGUUCAAGGGAGUAAACACGAAACCAACAAAUCCAUGGUUAUAAAGCCAAAGUGCAGGUGGAAGAGAGGGGUUCUUGCUGGACACCCAGCUUCACUAGCCUGCCAGCAGAUACAUUUAUAUUUUCUCUAAACUCCUUAUGAAGUGUGUUUAACUGUCCUGAUCCCUCCAUGGAUUCCAUUCAAUCUCCUGUCCCAGAAGUGACACGCAUCAGAACUGGUGUGUUUUAUCUGUAUUAGUUUACAGCUACUCACUUUUUCUAAGGGUUCAGUUUGGCAUACACAGGUGGGAAAUAGCACACCAACUAUGGCUGUGGCCUCAUUAUACUGAUGAUAAACCAGUUUGGGCAAAUUGAAGGCAGUGGAACUAGCGCCUAAACCCUAAAGACCCAUGUCUUCAUAUACUGGUCAGUAAUAUGAUUAUAAGAUCUUCACGCUGCUAACAUAACAAUUUUUGUGUUGAUCCCUGGCAUGGCUAUUCGUAUCCUUCAGCUUAUACACUCAUGUGCUGGCACAACAACUCUUAGAAUCAACAUACAGUGGUACCUUGGUUUCCAAACAGCUUAAUUGUCGAACAAAUCAGCUCCCGAACGCCGCAAACCUGGAAGCAAGUGUUCUGGUUUGCAAACGUUUUCAGAAGCCAAACAUCUGACGCAGCUUCUGCGGCUUCCACUUGAGUGCAGGAAGCUCCUGCAGCCAAUCGGAAACCACACCUUGGUUUUUGAAUGGUUUCGGGAGUCGAACGGACUCCCGGAACAGAUUAAGUUUGAGAACCAAGGUACCACUGUACUGACCUGUUGAAGCCAAACAUUUAAGCUAAGCCGCUUUAUAAGUGGAAAGAUGUGUAUAAGGAAGCCACACAAUUGUAGAGUUGCUGGAAUUGUAGAGUAAGGCGUUUUAGGAUUCCACUUCACAAUGUAAUUAGCCUAUGCAAUAGUAUGUCAGGAAUUGGCAGGGCUCCGGAGUGUGUUGUGAGACCAAGGGACCAGGGGAGUGACCAAGGAGAGGGGACCAGUUAUUUAUGGGGUGUCAUGCCAACCGCAAGGAGGAGCUAGGGGAGGAGGGAGAGUCAGAGCAGUCUGAGGCGGAGGAAGGCAUGCAGGAUGUGGUGGAGGAAUAAGCUACGGUUCAGGCAAGCAACAGGUCUGUAGAUUCCCUCUCCCCUCAACCAAUCUCGUAGAACCAGGAGGGGCUUGAAGAGGGAAAAGCAGUGACAACUUCCUGCAGAAGAAGUCUCAGGUUGCGGGCGUGCAACCCAUCAGAGGAGGGGAAGCGCCCCACUGUUGCUGCAACUGCUCCAUAAGGCCCAGAUCUGUGAACAGUUGCCUAAAGCAGGGAUCAGCAAACCUUUUCGUCAGGGGGCCGGUCCACUGUCCCUCAGACCUUGUGGGGGGCCGGGCUAUAUUUUGGGGGGUGGGGGAUGCAAGAGCACCACGAACCCCGGUGGCUGCUUAUCUGCGUCUUGCAAGCGGCAGGGACUGGCGGCAGCAGGGGGAUGAUGAGUGGUGCACGAAAGGGCUCCAGAGAGAGGCUGCUUAAAAUGGCAGUUGCUCGAGCACUGCUACUGCUGGCACCAACAAAGCCCAGCCCCCUUCCUCCUCUAGGCAGGGCAGGGAAAAGUCAGGAGGAGAGGGAGGAGGCACCGGCGCCGCCGUGUGAGGGAGAGGGAAAGAACGUGCGUGCUGGCAAUCCAAGCAGUGAUUCCCGGACCGGCUGUCCCUGGGCCGGAUCCAGAAGGCAAUUGGGCCUGAUCCAGCCCACAGGCCUUAGUUUGCCUACCCAUGGUCUAAAGGCUAGAAGUGUGUGUGCCCAGAGCACUGUGGAAGCUGCUAUAAGUGUGUCUCUUGCCAAUAAAGAGUUAACUAUCAGAUGUGUGUUUUCCUUAUCUUGGGCCAUGGCAGUGCAUUAGUAGAACUGCAAACUUUAGCGUUAAACAAGUACACUGUACACUGGGGAUGUAUGGAGAACAGAACUCAUUGCGUCAUCAUCCAUUAAAAUGAUUUAAAAUUAUUCAGGAAAAAACAAGUCACAUGUGCAGACCCUAAAUAAAUAAAGACACCUGGCAGUAUCCAGUUAACAUGACCCAUCAAAACAAUGAUUUACAGAACUUAGCCCUUUCCUCCCCCUGUGCACCCCCUAAAACCUAUAUUAGGGGUUCCCCCAAUCCUCUGGACAUGGGCCAUACAGGGGUAGGAGAGGGGGAAACUUAUAUUGUAUAAGCAAGUAGCAAAGCAUGCUUUGUGUUUGUUUGGCGUUUUCCUUUUUAGUGUGGCAUGUUUGACAGUAAAAUUUGCAAUGGGAAAAUCUGCUUUUUUCAACAACAAAAAAGCCCAUAGAGUUCACCCAACCUUUUAAAAAUAUUUUGAUUCAGUGAGCUCCUACUAGACUUUUCUCCAUCUUGAUGGAAAAUUGUAUAAUAAUGAUGUGAUAAUAUUUUGAUAAUGGUGCUUUGUUAUUUUUGGUUCUGUAAACCAUUUCUCAAAUUCAGCCAGCGCACCCCUUAGGGUUCCGGUUCCACUGUUUACAAAAUGCUUUAAGUGCAAAGACUGAGGAUUAUCAUGAUUCAUUCCAUGCUUGAUGUCAUAUUGGCUCACACAAUAGCUGCCUUUGAUUAUAUCUAUAAAUCUCACCAUACCAUAUUUCAUCCAUAGAGAGGUCUUAUUUGCAAUGCUAAACCUGUCAUUAAAGAUGAAUGAAGUCAGUUGUGAUAUGGAUAGACACUUUCAGACUUGACAAAAUAAAAGGGUUUGUGUACACUAUAUUUUUUUGCUGUCCAGUGACUCCCAGUCUAUAACAAUGGUAAAUCUUAAUAUAAAAAAAACCAAGGACUGUACCCAUUAAAGUUCAGUCUCAUUGCCUAAGAGAGCAUAGCCACGUGGCAUACCUCCUUUCGCCUUUGUUUCAUGCUAAGUAGCUAAAGCUAAUUUAAGCUUUUCUCCUUUCCAUGUACAAUACCAGGUACAUUUUAAAAAAAGAAAAAAGAACACCUGCUAACUUAUUCAGAUAUAUGUAGAAAUUGAAAUAAGGAUGUGAUUCAAAACAAAUAAGAAUCUAGGAGGAAUAGGCACAACUAUUACAAAUGAGAGCGUUAUUACACACAUUUCCUGCUUGUGGGUUUCCCAAAAGCAUCUGGUUGGCCACUAUAAGAACAGAAUGCUGAACUACACAGGCCUUUGGACUGAACCAGAAGGAUUCUUCUUAUGUUCAUCUAUUUAUUUCUUCUUUAAUCUCAUGCUGCUGCUGAGUAUAACAUCCUUUAAUGAAUAUCCUGUGUAGAUCAAGUCAAAUUACAUUGUCUCUUUACAUCAUAUUAAGAUCUAGUAACUCAGUUUUGGAUUUACCAUUUUAGUACCCAGUACUAUAUAAGUCAGUGCAAUAUAACACUUCAGGUCAUGAUUCUUCAGGACUUGACAAGAAUCACAUAAUCUUAUCUUGCAGAUAUAGAAGCCACUGACAGUGCUCAAUGGGAAACUGGAAGCAACAUCAAUAUAUCUUUUGAAGGUUGACCAUUCAAUUCACAGUAGCGUGCAGAUGGGCUUUUAACGUGUUCAUUUUAAAGUCAUUUUGGCUCUGGU